rnacentral:rRNA from 1 species
GACAGAGGGGGCAAGCGUUGCUCGGAAUUACUGGGCGUAAAGGGCUCGUAGGCGCCAACUAAGUCAUACGUGAAAUCCCUCGGCUUAACCGGGGAACUGCGUCUGAUACUGGAUGGCUUGAGUUCGGGAGAGGGAUGCAGAAUUCCAGGUGUAGCGGUGAAAUGCGUAGAUAUCUGGAGGAAUACCGGUGGCGAAGGCGGCAUCCUGGACCGGCAUUGACGCUGAGGAGCGAAAGCCAGGGGAGCAAAGCGGG